rnacentral:rRNA from 1 species
AGAUUGAACGCUGGCGGCAUGCUUUACACAUGCAAGUCGAACGGCAGCACGGGGGCAACCCUGGUGGCGAGUGGCGAACGGGUGAGUAAUAUAUCGGAACGUACCCGGAAAUGGGGGAUAACGUAGCGAAAGUUACGCUAAUACCGCAUAUGCCCUGAGGGGAAAGCAGGGGAUUCGUAAGAGCCUCGCGUUUUCGGAGCGGCCGAUAUCGGAUUAGCUAGUAGGUGAGGUAAAGGCUCACCUAGGCGACGAUCCGUAGCUGGUCUGAGAGGACGACCAGCCACACUGGAACUGAGACACGGUCCAGACUCUACGGGAGCAGCAGUGGGGAAUUUGGACAA